rnacentral:lncRNA from 1 species
GGAGAUUGAGAGAAGAGAGAUUAAGAGCGGGUACGCGUUUGGGAGAGAACGAGGACGAUGGACUGUUUUUGGUUUCCAUUUCUUUUUUUUCUUUUUUUUAAUUUAUUUUUAAGCAGAGAUAAGCAUUGAAACCAUAAUUUUUUUUUAUGUUUUUAAACUUCCUAAGUUUUCAUUUUUAACUUCCCAAGUUUAAUAAAUAUUAUUUUUCAUUUUCAAUUCAUAUGCUUUUGAGAAACCCAACAGCCAGGAGGCUGGGUUUUUUUGUUGGUAAACCAACAGACCUUCAUUAUUGUUAUUUUAGUUCCUUUUUUUGUUUUUAUUCCGAUCUAGUCUGGUUUAUAUGUUUAAGCUGUUAUCUAAAUGACAACUAAUGAUAAAUGGUCUAGUGGAGAGGGGGUGGCUUUUAUGGUCUUUAGUGUAGUGGGUUCGAUACCCGUAUUGAGCAUUUUAUUUCUUUCAGC